ACAUGUUUAAUACUAUAGGGCAUCUACAUAGGCUGUAAAUUUCUUUAAAUGAUAGAUGCAAAGAUGGAAGACAGAUGGAUAGAGGAAAAGACAGAAUCGGAUACCGCAUGAGUUAGUACUGUUGCCCGUGCUCCAGGGCUGGGCUAGCAAGCUCCGACGUCCCCACAUCCCCCACGCCCUCCCCCUGCAAUGUACCGAUUUAUAUGAAAAUUAAGAUUACAAAUUAAAAGCCUGGCUAUCCUGGAGUUUUCCAGUUCAUCAGCCAUCCAAUAAAAAUGAUGUCAAGCCUGUAUGCAUAAUUCCCAGAAGAUUACUUUGUCCUUACAGCUAAGCCCUGUCCCUGAUAUGAAAGAUCUCUAUCCACUUUUAUUGAAAUAAAGAACUAACAUCAUAAUCCCAA